rnacentral:tRNA from 1 species
GGGGCGUAGCUCAGUUGGUUAGAGCAGCUGACUCUUAAUCAGCGGGUCGUGGGUUCGAGUCCCUCCGCCC